GACGAACGCUGGCGGCGUGCUUAACACAUGCAAGUCGAACGGAAAGGCCCUGCUUUUGUGGGGUGCUCGAGUGGCGAACGGGUGAGUAACACGUGAGUAACCUGCCCUUGACUUUGGGAUAACUUCAGGAAACUGGGGCUAAUACCGGAUAGGAGCUCCUGCUGCAUGGUGGGGGUUGGAAAGUUUCGGCGGUUGGGGAUGGACUCGCGGCUUAUCAGCUUGUUGGUGGGGUAGUGGCUUACCAAGGCUUUGACGGGUAGCCGGCCUGAGAGGGUGACCGGCCACAUUGGGACUGAGAGACGGCCCAGACUCCUACGGGAGGCAGCAGUGGGGAAUAUUGCACAAUGGGCGGAAGCCUGAUGCAGCAACGCCGCGUGCGGGAUGACGGCCUUCGGGUUGUAAACCGCUUUCGCCUGUGACGAAGCGUGAGUGACGGUAAUGGGUGAAGAAGCACCGGCUAACUACGUG
rnacentral:rRNA from 1 species